UACGAAGGGGGCUAGCGUUGUUCGGAAUCACUGGGCGUAAAGCGCACGUAGGCGGAUUGUUAAGUUAGGGGUGAAAUCCCGGGGCUCAACCUCGGAACUGCCUCUGAUACUGGCAAUCUUGAGAUCGGGAGAGGAGGGUGGAACUCCGAGGGUAGAGGUGAAAGUCGUAGAUAUUCGGAAGAACACCAGAGGCGAAGGCGGCACGCGGGACCGAUACUGACGCUGAGGUGCGAAAGCGUGGGGAGCAAACAGG
rnacentral:misc_RNA from 1 species